AGUUUGAUCCUGGCUCAGAACGAACGCUGGCGGCGUGGAUAAGACAUGCAAGUCGAACGAGAGAAUUGCUAGCUUGCUAAUAAUUCUCUAGUGGCGCACGGGUGAGUAACACGUGAGUAACCUGCCCCCGAGAGCGGGAUAGCCCUGGGAAACUGGGAUUAAUACCGCAUAGUAUCGAAAGAUUAAAGCAGCAAUGCGCUUGGGGAUGGGCUCGCGGCCUAUUAGUUAGUUGGUGAGGUAACGGCUCACCAAGGCGAUGACGGGUAGCCGGUCUGAGAGGAUGUCCGGCCACACUGGAACUGAGACACGGUCCGGACACCUACGGGUGGCAGCAGUCGAGAAUCAUUCACAAUGGGGGAAACCCUGAUGGUGCGACGCCGCGUGGGGGAAUGAAGGUCUUCGGAUUGUAAACCCCUGUCAUGUGGGAGCAAAUUAAAAAGAUAGUACCACAAGAGGAAGAGACGGCUAACUCUGUGCCAGCAGCCGCGGUAAUACAGAGGUCUCAAGCGUUGUUCGGAAUCACUGGGCGUAAAGCGUGCGUAGGCUGUUUCGUAAGUCGUGUGUGAAAGGCGCGGGCUCAACCCGCGGACGGCAUAUGAUACUGCGAGACUAGAGUAAUGGAGGGGGAACCGGAAUUCUCGGUGUAGCAGUGAAAUGCGUAGAUAUCGAGAGGAACACUCGUGGCGAAGGCGGGUUCCUGGACAUUAACUGACGCUGAGGCACGAAGGCCAGGGGAGCGAAAGGGAUUAGAUACCCCUGUAGUCCUGGCAGUAAACGGUGCACGCUUGGUGUGCGGGGAAUCGACCCCCUGCGUGCCGGAGCUAACGCGUUAAGCGUGCCGCCUGGGGAGUACGGUCGCAAGAUUAAAACUCAAAGAAAUUGACGGGGACCCGCACAAGCGGUGGAGUAUGUGGCUUAAUUCGAUGCAACGCGAAGAACCUUACCUGGGCUUGACAUGUAAUGAACAACAUGUGAAAGCAUGCGACUCUUCGGAGGCGUUACACAGGUGCUGCAUGGCCGUCGUCAGCUCGUGUCGUGAGAUGUUUGGUUAAGUCCAGCAACGAGCGCAACCCCUGUUGCCAGUUACCAGCACGUGAAGGUGGGGACUCUGGCGAGACUGCCCAGAUCAACUGGGAGGAAGGUGGGGACGACGUCAGGUCAGUAUGGCCCUUAUGCCCAGGGCUGCACACGUACUACAAUGCCCAGUACAGAGGGGGCCGAAGCCGCGAGGCGGAGGAAAUCCUAAAAACUGGGCCCAGUUCGGACUGUAGGCUGCAACCCGCCUACACGAAGCCGGAAUCGCUAGUAAUGGCGCAUCAGCUACGGCGCCGUGAAUACGUUCCCGGGUCUUGCACUCACCGCCCGUCA
rnacentral:rRNA from 1 species